CAUGCUCAGCGCGUGCUCGGCGCUGCUGGAGGGCGGGCCCUCUGCCAGGCCUCGGUAGUCCGGGACGCUGCGAUUACAGGUGCGCAGCGGGCAGCCCUGCUGUUUCACGCCCGAAGCCCCGAGGUUCUCAGUCAGCCACAAGUCGCAGGAGAGAGUAGGGCUCGGUGGUUUGUAGAGCUCGAUGGUUGCACUGUGAGUACCGAGCAGAGAAAAUUGCCACCAAAAAGAGGAAAGGCUGCCGGGCGGUGGAAGGCAGAGGCAGACAGAUCUCUGAGUUCGCGGCCAGUAUGUCCCAGGACAGCCAAAGCUACGCGGAGAAACCCUGUCUCCAAAAACCGAAACCAAAAGAAAGAAAGAAACAGAAAAGAAAAAAAGGCUUUAGGAACAGGGGAGGCAAUUUAUUCAAGAUAUUAAAAUUUUUCAUGUUGCAUAUCAUCUAUAGGGACUUGAUCACUUUUUUGUUGAGAUAGGGUCUCACUGUGUAGCACAGUGAGUUCCCAGCUGGCUGGGAACUUGCCAUUAGACCAGGCUGACUUCAGUGUCGCAGACAUCCACCUGCCUCUGUCUCCUGAGUGUUGAGAUUAAAGGUGUGCUCCAUCGUGCCCGGCAUGCCUAGCUUUUAAAAAUGUAUGUACUGGGGAUCUAAACUCAGGUCCUAACACUUGAAAGGCAAGCACUUUAUUCCCUGAGCCAUCUUCCCAGCGGUCUUUUGCUGGGAGCAGUUGCAUGCUGGAUUGGCAGAAGCAAGCAAGUGGGCUUCCUGGAGGCAGCCCACUCGUUUUUGUUUUUUUGUUUUGUUUUGUUUUGUUUUGUUUACAGCUGAUGCAUGGGUGUGUCCCUGGUUUAGGCAAGGCCCCAAGGAUUUUGUCUCAAGACUGCUUAUUAUGCUAUACUGCCAGUCCAUUCUUGUCUCAUAUAUCUGGCAUGGCAGAGACCCUCACUGCUUACUGCUUUCACUCUGUUGGGCAGGUUUCCUGUAGAUGAUUUUGAAGAUGUACCUUCAUGGCUAGUGCUGUUUAAAGGAACUGAUCAUUUAAUAAUCCCUGAUGAUGAUUUUAAAGAAUUUCUGACUUGAUUUAAGUAAUUUAAAAACCCUCCUGCAGUAUAGCAGAAACUAGGAGCUAGGAGCUCUAUGAACCUCCAUAUAUCAAGCACUUGAUAUACAUCUAGAGGGAAAAUAAGACUGAAACAAAUUAAUAGUCAAAGAGAUGGAUUCACUCUAGGUUUAGUCCAAGGAUAAGGCCCAGUUGUACACCAAGAUGAGAAAGACCAUAUGAAUAUAGAAACAAAGAAUAAAUUGUUAGCUAUACAAGGCAAGACAGAUACCUGUUUCUUAGGAAAACCUUGACAUAAAAAAACUAUCCUUUGAGGGGGCUGCAGCUGGGAUACAAAAUGAAUAAACUAUAAUAAAUUAAAAAAUUUAAAAACUAUCCUUUGAAAUAAUAAUGAAAGAUAACUAGUGAAAGAUAAAACUGCUUUGAACUCAUAAUAAGCAUGUAGAUAAAACCACUGCUUUAAACUUACAAUGAAAGUAUCUAGUUAGUAUAGUUCUAAUGAAAGAACUUCAAAUCAGGAUUCCUACUGUAACUCUCUUUCUGUGUGUCCAUGUAUCUAUUCUUGAAUGAAAUAAUUUUUUCCAUACAUAGAGAACCUUUGUAUUAGACUGCAUACAAGUCCAAGACAGAAUUAAACAUUUGUCGAGGGGAAGGGCUCUCUUCCUGUCAAGGUGGACACGUUUGCAGGUUCAUCUACAGUUCCUGGAGGCCGAUGACAUCUGUUAACUGUGUCAAGCACAGGGGCAUGCGAUGGCACAGACCAGAGGAAAGCUGCAGGACUUGGGUAGGUGGAAGCUGGCAUCUAUCCGUGGGAUGCCAGGCUUGGAAGAAGUGUCUGAAGAGUUUGAUUGACUGAUUACAGCUACAGUGAUGUGGACAGUUUAGAAUGUUGCUGGUCCAGAGUCUGAUUCCCCGAAUAGCCCCCGAAGCCAUUUCUCUGUGCCCACCUCUGUGUCAAAUCAUCCUGCAACUUAUAGACUAAACUAACGGACAUCUAGCUUCCACCAAUCCAGAAGCGAAGAAUGGCCUCAGAUGGCCUGUGAGGCCUGUGGGAAAGCUCACUUCAGCUUUCUGGAGCCCUCUCUUUGAUAUAUCCACCAGCGUGUUUUAACUUGCCAUAAUAUGUUAAUGUAAGACUGUAACAUUACAUGAAACUGCUUCCACGUGGGAACAUGGAAUUGGGGUAACCUAUAGCCGGGUUCCCAUGCCAUGAUCGCUCAGUUAGGACUUAGAAUAAACUAUCUCCUACUCCCCUUAAAGUGAGAGCUGUGGUUGUACAGCAGCAGCAGCAGCAAAGGCUUCCAUUCCCUAAGCCAUCCUACUAGCCCAGCGAUGGCUUUUUUUUCUGGUGGGGGGGUAGAAAGUUUUCAUAGCGAACUUUCAUAGACAUUUAAAAAAUAAAAUCGAGGUAAUAUCUGUC